rnacentral:rRNA from 1 species
AUGAUCCAGAGUACCACGGGACACGUGAAACCCUGUGGGAAGCAGGAGGGACCACCCUCCAAGGCUAAAUACUACCUAGUGACCGAUAGCGUAUAGUACCGUGAGGGAAAGGUGAAAAGAACCCCGGGAGGGGAGUGAAAUAGAACCUGAAACCCUGCACUUACAAGCUGUGGAAGCACAUUUCUUGUGUGACCGCGUACUUUUUGUAGAACGGGCCAACGAGUUACGUUAAGUAGCAAGGUUAAGCACUUAAGGUGUGGAGCCGUAGCGAAAGCGAGUUUUAACUGAGCGUUCAGUUACUUGACGUAGACCCGAAACCGGGCGACCUACCCAUGAGCAGGAUGAAGCGAAAGUAAAAUUUCGUGGAGGUCCGAACCCACGAGCGUUGAAAAGCUCGGGGAUGACUUGUGGGUAGCGGUGAAAUUCCAAUCGAGCCCGGAGAUAGCUGGUUCUCCCCGAAAUAGCUUUAGGGCUAGCCUCAAGGUGAGAGAUACGGAGGUAGAGCACUGAAUGUCCUAGGGGGUAUUGCACCUACCGAAGACUAUCAAACUCCGAAUGCCGUCAUCUUAUACUUGGGAGUCAGACUGUGGGUGAUAAGAUUCAUAGUCGAAAGGGCAACAGCCCAGAUCGUCAGCUAAGGUCCCUAAAUGUAAGUUAAGUGGUAAAGGAUGUGGGAUUGCACAGACAACCAGGAUGUUGGCUUAGAAGCAGCCACUCAUUCAAAGAGUGCGUAAUAGCUCACUGGUCGAGUGAUCCUGCGCCGAAGAUUUCCGGGGCUAAAACUUACUACCGAAGCUACGGCAUCAGUAAUGAUGGGUAGGGGAGCUUCCCAUACGGGUUGAAGCAUGACCGUAAGGACAUGUGGACAGUAUGGGAGUGAGAAUGUUGGCAUGAGUAGCGAGAUGUGGGUGAGAAUCCCACAGGCCGUAAACCCAAGGUUUCCAGGGGAAGGUUCGUCCGCCCUGGGUUAGUCGGGACCUAAGCUGAGGCCGAAAGGCGUAGGUGAUGGACAACAGGUUGAUAUUCCUGUACUACCGAUAACCGUUUGAGAGAAGGGAUGACACAGUAGGAUAAGCUAAGCACACUGUUGGUUAUGUGUGCCCAAGCAUUGAGGCAGUCAAAGUAGGCAAAUCCGCUUUGAUAAUGCUGGGAUGUGAUGGGGAGCGAAAUUUAGUAGCGAAGUAGCUGAUUUCACACUGUCAAGAAAAGUCUCUAUCGAGGUUAAAGGUACCCGUACCGCAAACCGACACAGGUGGGUGAGGAGAGUAUCCUAAGGCCAGCGAGAGAACUGUUGUUAAGGAACUCGGCAAAAUGACCCCGUAACUUAGGGAUAAGGGGUGCCACCAUCAGGUGGCCGCAGAGAAUAGGCCCAAGCGACUGUUUACCAAAAACAUAGGUUUCUGCUAAGUCGCAAGACGAUGUAUAGGAGCUGACGCCUGCCCGGUGCUGGAAGGUUAAGGGGAUCUGUUAGAGCAAUCGAAGCAGUGAACUUAAGCCCCAGUAAACGGCGGCCGUAACUAUAACGGUCCUAAGGUAGCGAAAUUCCUUGUCGGGUAAGUUCCGACCCGCACGAAAGGCGUAACGAUUUGGGCACUGUCUCAACAACAGACUCGGUGAAAUUGUAAUUCCGGUGAAGAUGCCGGAUACCUGCGACAGGACGGAAAGACCCCAUGGAGCUUUACUGUAGCUUGACAUUGGGUCUUGGUACUACAUGUACAGGAUAGGUGGGAGGCUUUGAAACCAGGACGCCAGUUUUGGCGGAGCCAUCCUUGGGAUACCACCCUUGUAGUACUGGGACUCUAACCAUAGGCCAUGAAUCUGGUCUUGGGACACUGUCAGGUGGGCAGUUUGACUGGGGCGGUCGCCUCCCAAAAGGUAACGGAGGCGCUCAAAGGUUCUCUCAGUACGGUCGGAAAUCGUACGUAGAGUGUAAAGGCAAAAGAGAGCUUGAUUGCAAGACAUACAGGUCGAGCAAGGAUGAAAAUCGGACUUAGUGAUCCGGUGGUUCUGCGUGGAAGGGCCAUCGCUCAACGGAUAAAAGCUACCCUGGGGAUAACAGGCUUAUCUCCCCCAAGAGUCCACAUCGACGGGGAGGUUUGGCACCUCGAUGUCGGCUCAUCACAUCCUGGGGCUGUAGUAGGUCCCAAGGGUUGGGCUGUUCGCCCAUUAAAGUGGUACGCGAGCUGGGUUCAGAACGUCGUGAGACAGUUCGGUCCCUAUCCGUCGCAGGCGUAGGAAAUUUGAGAAGACCUGUCCUUAGUACGAGAGGACCGGGAUGGACGUACCUCUGGUGUACCAGUUGUUCUGCCAAGGGCAUGGCUGGGUAGCUAUGUACGGAAUGGAUAAGCGCUGAAAGCAUCUAAGCGCGAAGCCAACUUCAAGAUAAGAUUUCCCACCGUAAGGGUAAGACCCCAGAAAGACUAUCUGGUUGA